rnacentral:rRNA from 1 species
UAGGGAAUCUUCCGCAAUGGACGCAAGUCUGACGGAGCAACGCCGCGUGAGUGAAGAAGGAUUUCGGUUCGUAAAACUCUGUUGUUAGAGAAGAACAGCGCAUAGAGUAACUGUUAUGCGUGUGACGGUAUCUAACCAGAAAGCCACGGCUAACUACGUGCCAGCAGCCGCGGUAAUACGUAGGUGGCAAGCGUUGUCCGGUGUUAUUGGGCGUAAAGCGAGCGCAGGCGGUCAAUUAAGUCUGAUGUGAAAGCCCCCGGCUCAACCGGGGAGGCUCAUUGGAACCGGGUUGACUUGAGUGCAGAAGAGGAGAGUGGAAUUCCGUGUGUAGCGGUGAAAUGCGUAGAUAUAUGGAGGAACACCAGUGGCGAAGGCGACUCUCUGGUCUGUAACGGACGCUGAGGCUCGAAAGCGUGGGUAGCAAACAGG